rnacentral:lncRNA from 1 species
UAAUUUGUAUAUAAAUAGUUAUUGGAUACAUAGAUUUAUAAUUAAUUAUUUUUAUUUUGAAAUAGUCUGUUUAUAGAGCAAAAUAUUAAAAUUUUAAAUUAAUUUUAAAUUUUGAAUUAAAAUAUGGAUCACGUUUGAAAUUAUGAAGCAAAUUUAAAAUUUAAAAUCUAUUUGAAAUAUUUUUUAACAAAUUAGUCAUAAUCAUUCGUAGGAUUUGAUAUAUAGAUAAUAAUGUUAUUUUUUAACAUAUUGAUCAUAACAAUUCGUUGAUAUUUUUUUAACAAAUUAAUCAUAACCAUUAGCAUGAAAUUUUCUUUUAUUCUUUUUUAAUUCGGUCUAUCAUUAUAAUUAAGAAUUUCUAUAUGCUUUUAUAUAUAGUAUAGAUAAGUGUGAAGUAUAAGAUAGUUAUUAUUAGAUAAGAUGCAAUAUGGAUAUUAUGUAAGGAGGUGGGAUUGGAUACGUACUGUCUGAGUACAAUUUAGGUAAAAAAAAUAUGACAGAUACUUAAUUCAUAGGCCAUUGGAUUAAAUCCAAUGGCUAAGAUUUAAUACAUUUUAUGAUAAUUUGGAAGUAAAAUAAAAAUUGUACGAAUGUGAUUUAUACCCAUUAAAGUUGAUUGAAUGAUAUUAUUAGUAUGUGAUUGGAAUUAUAUUAAUAGGGAAUAAUAUUUCGGAAAAGAAAAAAAUUAUUUAAAACUCACUCUUUUAUAAGUAGUAUAGAUUAGUACAACCACGCAAACCCAAGCCCAAAUCAACUUAAAUUUUUUUUUGGAG